ACGGGUGAGUAACGCGUGGGAAUCUACCGUACCCUACGGAAUAGCUCCGGGAAACUGGAAGUAAUACCGUAUACGCCCUUCGGGGGAAAGAUUUAUCGGGGUAUGAUGAGCCCGCGUUGGAUUAGCUAGUUGGUGGGGUAAAGGCCUACCAAGGCGACGAUCCAUAGCUGGUCUGAGAGGAUGAUCAGCCACAUUGGGACUGAGACACGGCCCAAACUCCUACGGGAGGCAGCAGUGGGGAAUAUUGGACAAUGGGGGCAACCCUGAUCCAGCCAUGCCGCGUGAGUGAUGAAGGUCUUAGGAUUGUAAAGCUCUUUCACCGAUGAAGAUAAUGACGGUAGUCGGAGAAGAAGCCCCGGCAAACUUCGUGCCAGCAGCCGCGGUAAUACGAAGGGGGCUAGCGUUGUUCGGAAUUACUGGGCGUAAAGCGCACGUAGGCGGAUAAUUAAGUCAGGGGUGAAAUCCCGCAGCUCAACUGCGGAACUGCCUUUGAUACUGGUUAUCUUGAGUAUGGAAGAGGUAAGUGGAAUUGCGAGU
rnacentral:rRNA from 1 species